rnacentral:rRNA from 1 species
CUUCCUCCGAGUCUGGGAUAACUUUCCGAAAGGGGAGCUAAUACUGGAUGGUCCCGAGAGGUCAUAUGAUUUUUCGGGUAAAGAUUUAUUGCUCGGAGCUGAGCCCGCGCCCGAUUAGCUAGUUGGUGAGGUAAUGGCUCACCAAGGCGACRAUCGGUAGCCGGCCUGAGAGGGUGUUCGGCCACAAUGGAACUGAGACACGGUCCAUACUCCUACGGGAGGCAGCAGUUAAGAA